rnacentral:lncRNA from 1 species
UUGAAUUUACAGUGAUACAGUUGAUAUUAUUUCUCCAGAUAAUAAACAGGAUUACAUCCUGAUGUAGCACAGUAUUAUUCUCUUUGACAAGGCAAUCAGUCAUUUCUACAUUCAGUGUCAACAAACUCUGAGCCCCAAAUGGCACCCUAUUCCCUAUGUAGGGCACUACUUUAGACUAGAGUCAUAUGGACCCUGGUCUAUAUAGGGAGAAGGGUGUCAUUUGGGAUGGAUCCUACAGUAUCCCUCUCUCUCUAACUCUCUCUUUCUUAAGUGGCUUGGGGCUCAGAGAGAAACUCUUAAAGGGGGGAGAAGGGCAGAGGGAUGAGGGGUGGAGGGAUGGAGGGAUGGGGUGGAGGGAUGGCAGGACAGAAGGGUGGAGGCAUGGAGGGAGAGAAGGGUGGAGGCAUGGAGGGAGAGAAGGGUGGAGGCAUGGAGGGGUGGAGGGAUGGAGAGAAGGAUGGAGGGAUGGAGCGAGAGAAGGAUGGAGGAUGGAGAGAUGGAGGGAGAGAAGGGUGGAGGGAUGUAUGUAAGACAGGAUGACAGUCGACAGCCUUAAAUAAGGCCUGAGGGGAGGAAAGGAAAAGAGUUGCCACACAGUCUACAGUGUGUGGAGAGAAAUGUGAAGCUAGCCCUCUAUGCGAAACUGAAUAAGCCCCCAGGCUGAGUCUCCCGGGUAGGAAAUUGGCUAACAGUGUUAGCGAGCCAAGAGCAACCUUCUGGCUUGGUCUUUAUGUUUCAUUUAGAUCUUAUUUGCUACAUGCACACAAAGUCAAUGGAACUCUUCAGCACGUUUUACAUAGAACCACUGGCCGUGUUCUAGAACUUCUAGUGUUCUACAGUAGAAUUCUCUGGCUGUGUUCUAGAACAUAGUAGAGUCACCUAGCUAGCUAAUACAGUGGUUCUCAAUCCUGGUCCUGGGGACCCAAAGGGGGACACAUUUCUGUUUUUGCUCUAGCACUACACACCUGAUUCAAAUCAUCCAAGCUUGAUGAUCAGUUGAUCAUUUUAAAAUCAGCAAAAACUAAAAUGUGUCCCCCUUCGGGACCCCAGGACCAGGAUUGAGAACCACUGAUUGAACAGAUAAGGUGACACUAUAAACUAUUUAAAAAGUGGAAUAAAAACAGGGUGAUGAAAGUGCAAUCACUUUAAAAAUGAUUAAAAACUUAAAACUCAGCGUUUAAAAAUACUUUAAAAAAACAUUCUCAUCAGAACAAGUGUGUUAAACAUACUGGUCUGUUUCUCAGAGCAAUAUAGACCAGAUUACUACUGAGAUCAUUGUACACACACUCAUCAAAUCAAACUAAUAUUUUAUGCCCAAACUAAUGCUCCGAUGUACAUAAAUAGAUAUAAAUUGGGAUAUUAUAAAGACAACUUUUCAGGUCCCAAAGCACCCUGGAACUUUAACUUAAAAAAGUGGUCUUCUCCCCUAUAGUACCCUAGCAAUGGUCCUGUGAACCAUACAUAAAACACGGAGCAUUCAACACGGAAAAUGUUAAAAAACUUACAAAUUCACCCUCACAACCAAAAGAGUUGUACCCCCCCAACCUGACUAUCAAUUAUCACAAAAAAAAGGUACAUUUCUUCUUAUUUUUUUAUUACAAGUCUUAGAAUGUUAAAAUAAACAAUGAUGGUGAAUAUACACAUUGAGGGGGACAUUAAACCAAGAUGGACAGGCAGCAAGCGUCAGCGGUGGAGGAGAGGAAGGGGGACGAGAGGUGAGGAAGGGGGAUGAGAGGUGAGGAAGAGGGAGGCAGCAAGCGUCAGCGGUGGAGGAGAGGAAGGGGGACGAGAGGUGAGGUAGAGGGAGGAGAGGGAGGCAGCAAGCGUCAGCGGUGGAGGAGAGGAAGGGGGACGAGAGGUGAGGAAGAGGGAGGCAGCAAGCGUCAGCGGUGGAGGAGAGGAAGGGGGACGAGAGGUGAGGAAGAGGGAGGCAGCAAGCGUCAGCGGUGGAGGAGAGGAAGGGGGACGAGAGGUGAGGAAGAGGGAGGAGAGGAAGGCAGCAAGCGUCAGCGGUGGAGGAGAGGAAGGGGGACGAGAGGUGAGGAAGAGGGAGGAGAGGGAGGCAGCAAGCAUCAGCGGUGGAGGAGAGGAAGGGGGACGAGAGGUGAGGAAGAGGGAGGAGAGGGAGGCAGCAAGCAUCAGCGGUGGAGGAGAGGAAGGGGGACGAGAGGUGAGGAAGGGGGAUGAGAGGUGAGGAAGGGGGAUGAGAGGUGAGGAAGAGGGAUGAGAGGUGAGGAAGGAGAGGAAGAGAGGUGAGGAAGGAGAGGAAGAGAGGUGAGGAAGGAGAGGAAGAGAGGUGAGGAAGGGGGACAAGAGGCGAGGAAGGGGGACAAGAGGUGAGGAAGGGGGACAAGAGGUGAGGAAGGGGGACAAGAGGUGAGGAAGGAGAGGAAGAGAGAGGCAGCAAGUGUCAGCGGUGGAGGAGAGGUGAAAAAGGGGGAGGAGAGGUGAGGAAGGGGGACAAGAGGUGAGGAAGAGGGAGGAGAGGUGAGGAAGAGGGAGGAGAGGUGAGGAAGGGGGAUGAGAGGUGAGGAAGGGGGAGGAGAGGUGAGGAAGGGGGAGGAGAGGUGAGGAAGGGGGAUGAGAGGUGAGGAAGGGGGAGGAGAGGUGAGGAAGGGGGAGGAGAGGUGAGGAAGGGGGAUGAGAGGUGAGGAAGGGGGACAAGAGGUGAGGAAGAGGGAGGAGAGGUGAGGAAGAGGGAGGAGAGGUGAGGAAGAGGGAUGAGAGGUGAGGAAGAGGGAUGAGAGGUGAGGAAGGGGGACAAGAGGUGAGGAAGAGGGAGGAGAGGUGAGGAAGAGGGAGGAGAGGUGAGGAAGAGGGAGGAGAGGUGAGGAAGGAGAGGAAGAGAGAGGCAGCAAGUGUCAGUGGUGAAAGAGAGGUGAAAAAGGGGGAGGAAGGUGAGGACAGAAAGAUUCCAAAAUGUCUUUCACUUCUAGAACAUCUCAAACACUUCCCCUGCUUCCACUAUGCCUCUUCCUCCUCUCCAUCCCUCCUUCCUGUCCAGGGACACCUUUAGUCAGUAGUACAGGUCAUGUAAAAUGACAACAACAUAGAAAUACAUUUACAGAUUAAUAAUACUAACAAUAUUAUAGCCACAGAAUAUUCUACAUGUACAGAUAACGUCUGCAUCCCAAAUGUAACCUAUUCCCUAUAUAGUGCACUACUUUUGGCCAGAGCCCAUAUAGAAAAGGGUGAAGGGUUUGGGACAUAGACCAACUUGUGACCAGUUCACAAGCAAAAACCAAACAAGGUGGUAAAGAAAUAGAUUGUUUUCAUACAGAAGAUAGAUGUUGGUAUGAUGUGACUGCUGGUUUCUUCUUGACACACACACACACACACACACACACACACACACACACACACACACCUGCCUUCUCACUUUCCCUUACAGCAUGUGUGUGUUUGCAGGUAGAUGAGAAGAAAGAAUGAAAGAGAGAGGGAAUGAAAGAGAGAGGUUGCAGUGUCCCUUGGUUUGUAGCUGUGCAACAGAGGCCGAAGGGAAAGAUGCCCACCUGUCAAGUCCACCUUUAAUUUAGACCUGGCACCAAGAGAAAGAGAGAGAGGAGGGAGAGAGACGGACCGACGGGGGGGAUUAGAGUGAGGCGAGGACAGAUACAGGGAAAGAGGAGGAGGGGGAAAAAAAAACUCUCCCUCUCUCUCUCGUUGGCUGUGAGCUUCACUGUAGCAGAGAUAGUAGAGAUGAGAACAGCUUAGAGACCAAAAAGCAGCCGUCAAUCCCCGGAGAUUAACACACACACACACGCGAUUUAAAAAUAAAUAAUAAUAUAGAAUCUGUAUAUGGUCUCCUAACCCAUCUCUCUAAUGACAACUGAACAGGAGGGAGGCAGAGGAUUAUUUUAGGUACUUAUUGACUUAAUCAGCAUCCCAAGUAGAACCCUACAUAGUGCACUACUUUUAUCCAGGGCACAUAGGGAUCUGGUCAAACGUAGUGCACUAUAUAGGGAAUAGGCUGCCAUUUGAGACACAUCCUUAGCCAAUACUACAGGGAACUAGACUGGCCCUAAAACCAACAGAGAGAGAGAGUUAGAGAGUUAGAGAGAGAGAGAGAGAGAGAGAGAGAGAGAGAGAGAGAGAGAGAGAGACAGAGACAGACAGAGACAGAGACAGACAGAGAGAGAGAGAGAGAGACAGAGAGACAGAGACAGAGAGAGAGAGAGAGAGAGAGAGACAGAGACAGACAGAGACAGAGACAGAGAGAGAGAGAGCGUACUGUACUUGUCUGUGUUUGUUGCGUGGUUCCUAGAAAACCACGGCCGGAGCAGUGCAUCACACACACAGAGUUGAUUAUAGUCCACAUAUGGGCAGACCCUGCCCCCACACCAGCGCAGGAUGUCAAUUGGAUGACUACAGGGGUCAGAGGUCAAUAACUCAUCCUGACCAAUGAUAGCUUGCUGUGUCUGUGACGUUAUUUCCACAUCAUCCCUCUUUCAUUAACGCUCUCUGUUCGUCCAUCCAUCAAUCCAUCCAUCCAUCCAUCCAUCCAUCCAUCCAUCCAAUGAAUGUAUCCCCCAGCCGCAGAUCAGGGGAUUAGUAUCUUAGCUAUUAUAUCAUGCAGCGUUAGCAUCAUGCUACACUAGCUCGGAGCUAGCGCUGCCCACAACUUCCUUCUGUAAACGUGGAACAUUUCAUUGUCUAGCCAACAGCAGAGAAUCUCAGUGAUAGAGGGGUAAACCACUCACUACCGCCGACACAACACCCCCAUCUGGCAGUCCAAUCUGUGUACUGCACCUCAACACAGACAGCCAAGAGUGUCGCAAAUGUUUUUGGUGCUGAGAUUCACUUUUUGGCUUUUCCUGACCCUCCAAUCUCGAAAGUCAAAACAUCGCCAACCAUUCAGAUAGUCCAAACAGAAACUACUCCAAGUUGAACCACCAGCUUUAAAUGUGGGACAGAUAGUGGUUAAGAGAAGCUACACUUUUAGUUUUGGGACAGAUAGUGGUUAAGAGAAGCUACACUUUUAGUUUUGGGACAGAUAGUGGUUAAGAGAAGCUACACUUUUAGUUUUGGGACAGAUAGUGGUUAAGAGAAGCU